rnacentral:rRNA from 1 species
UACGUAGGGUGCGAGCGUUGUCCGGAAUUAUUGGGCGUAAAGAGCUCGUAGGCGGUCUGUCGCGUCGAUCGUGAAAACCCGAGGCUCAACCUCGGGCCUGCAGUCGAUACGGGCAGACUAGAGUUCGGUAGGGGAGACUGGAAUUCCUGGUGUAGCGGUGAAAUGCGCAGAUAUCAGGAGGAACACCGGUGGCGAAGGCGGGUCUCUGGGCCGAAACUGACGCUGAGGAGCGAAAGCGUGGGGAGCGAACAGG